CGGGUGAGUAACACGUGGAUAACCUACCUAUAAGACUGGGAUAACUUCGGGAAACUGGAGCUAAUACCGGAUAAUAUAUUGAACCGCAUGGUUCAAUAGUGAAAGACGGUUUUGCUGUCACUUAUAGAUGGAUCCGCGCCGCAUUAGCUAGUUGGUAAGGUAACGGCUUACCAAGGCAACGAUGCGUAGCCGACCUGAGAGGGUGAUCGGCCACACUGGAACUGAGACACGGUCCAG
rnacentral:rRNA from 1 species